rnacentral:rRNA from 1 species
AGCAGCCGCGGUAAUUCCAGCUCCAAUAGCGUAUAUUAAAGUUGUUGCAGUUAAAAAGCUCGUAGUUGAAUUUCGGGGUUAGCAGGUCGGUCGUGCCAUUGGUAUGAACUGGUCUCGCUGAUCCCUCCCUCUUGACGAACUGUGAUGCCAUUAAUUUGGUGUCGCAGGGAAUCAGGACUGUUACUUUGAAAAAAUUAGAGUGUUUAAAGCAGGCUCACGCUUGAAUACAUUAGCAUGGAAUAAUGAAAUAGGACGUUUGAUCCUAUUUUGUUGGCUUCUAGGAUUGACGUAAUGAUUAAUAGGGAUAGUUGGGGGCAUUAGUAUUCAAUUGUCAGAGGUGAAAUUCUUGGAUUUAUUGAAGACUAACUACUGCGAAAGCAUUUGCCAAGGAUGUUUUCAUUAAUCAAGAACGAAAGUUAGGGGAUCGAAGACGAUCAGAUACCGUCGUAGUCUUAACCAUAAACUAUGCCGACUAGGGAUCGGAUGAUGUUAAUUUUUAAUGACUCU